UGUGCCCUUGCACUGCCGCCGGCCACAGAAUAAGGUUUUUAAUCUGCUGCGGCUAAAUUGGUUUUCUGAUCAGUUGAGCGUCAACAGGAGCUUGGGAUUUAGUAACUUUGUGAUCCCCAGCAG